AUCUAGUAAAAUAGAUCUAUUGCCUAAGUAGUUUGGCUAGCUGUAUAUAUGAAAAAGAAAUACAGAUAAUAUGACUAUUUGAAUGAAAAGAUGAUCAAGUUAAUAAAUUCGCUGAGUUACCUAUCGUGCUUCAAAAUUGACACGUGUGCCUUUUUCCGUGCUAAAGGCAAAAGGGAAGAGCUAAACGGUUGGAGGCUUAAUUUGCACGAUAAGUAACGAGGAGGGGUUAACUAACCCGUUUGUCCUGCAAUAUUAUGGACAUUUUUGGAAUUAUCUGGGAUCUCAGUCGAUAAUCCAUUACAGUAUUCUUUUCUAGCGUCCCCAAUUAGGAUAAUAGUCAAUUAUCUAAUUCUAUUACAUCUAUGAAUAUAUACACCCAUACUUCCUUCAUACGCAUUUAUUCCUUCAUCUAUACAUUUAUACAUUAAAUUAAUACAGAAUAAUACGAAGCGAUCUUUGUUGAUAUAUAGAUAUAUAUGUAUAUUGUGACGUGUUUUAGGUUAUAUUGACCCAGGGUCAAAAUCUACCAUCAAAUUCAGUCGGAACACUAUGGAACAAAAUCCACUGUUAAUUUAUUAUAAGUUUUUUAAGUAAUUUGUAAGCAUUUUUCGCCAACGCGUCAGCUGAUCGUUGCGCUUCGUGUCAUGGCGUCUGGGCCUGAGUCGUAAUCCACACACACACAUCAAUUUGUUAUUCUCUUUUCUUCAGGUAUUCCAAUUUCUAAUGAAAGUUACUCCGAUUUUUAAAGGAAGAUGCGCAAAAAUACAUACUGGUACAUCACAUCAGGAGGCUACCCUACUGAAGAAGAAGCACACUUUGCGAAUAAAUCAACUACGUUGACGGAUCCAUUGGCUGCGAAUUAAAUUGCUAAAACCAUUUCCCCAUUGUCACCAGGAGCAUCCCCAAUCGAUGACAGAGGAGCUAAAUAUUCAACCAAUGAAAUCCUGACAGUCCUAGCGUAAGUGUCGAUUGGGCUUGUAAGACUUAGAGCAUCCAG